GGGCUGGCUGGCUCUUCCCCACCCUAUGCCUGGGUCUCAACUUUCCUUCCUAUGUGAGCCUGGCCUCUGAUCUCAGGAGGGGAAACUGAGGCUGGCACUUGCUGACACCCAGCCAUCAAGAGCAUCUUUAAGGAAGUAUCUUUUCUUUAUGAGGGGCCUUUCUCCAUCAGUAUCCCCUGCUGGGACUUACAGAUGUGAAUGUAGGGGAUCGUAGAGGUGGGUCUGUGAGAAGGAGGAAGGGAGUAAGUAUGAGUUUUUUGUGUAUGGGGAGCUGUGGCUGAGGGCCUGGCCAAUCUUAGUGCUGGUUCAAACGCAUGUGAGGCUAUCUUCUUGCAUAAACUGGUGGGUGUUUGGCACAUAUAUGUGUUCAUGUCUUAUCUUAGGGGCAUAUACGUACUUACUUGUCUGUGUCCAGAGGGAAGAGCUGUGUAUCAGUAUGUGUGAAUGUGUGUGCACACAUGAUUCCGUGUGCAUGUCACACCCUCUGUAUGCAUGGAGUGCAUUCUUGUCUCGCGGAACUCUGCACACAUAGUAAAUAUUUUGCUGUCGGUUUAUCUUGGCUUCCACAUGUCUCUCUGUCUCAGCUGCCCUUGGUCUGUGGUAUGUGGCUGUGAGCCUUUGCCUCUGCAUCCUGCCUGGAAUGUCACCCCCAGCAUCCUUCCCCACCUUACCCCAAGACUUGAAGACAUAUUAAUCUCAGGCUCAAGGUGGAAGUACCCAGAGAUGAGGUCACUGUCCCUCCAGGUGAUGGGAACUUGCCAUUAAGGACUCCCCAGCAGAACAAAACAAAUGUUCCCUCUCCCCUUGCUCCUCAGGUUCCUACUAAAAGGACUGCCAACCUUCUCACCACUACCCCCAGCCACUCCCCUGGGCCCCUCAGCAGCUCUGGCCCCCCAAGGAGGCCUCUCCCUGGGAAUCUCUGUCAGGGCUCUGCUGCUGCCACCACCAGAAAAACCAGCUCUGGCUCCAGGCCUGGCAACAAUCUCCACCGAGAGCUGGAGUAUGUGGGUGAGUCUGGGGUGAGAAAGGACCUAGGAGGGACGCACCGAAGCUCACCAUCCAGGACAGCCAGACCCAGUGACCCUUCCAACACCCCAGCACCCCACUUCAGCCAGGCCUGGACCAUCACAGAGUCAUCGUAUUUCAGAGCUGGAAGGUCAAUAGAGAUCAUCUGGUCCUAGCUCUCGGUCUACUGAAGUCUGGUUUCAUCGCUGCCCAAGGUUACCAAAUAGAUUAAUAGCAGAAACGGGAUCUGGACCAAGACUCCUGACUUCCCAGUCCAAGGAUUUUUUCAGAGACAUGAAACAUUCCAGGUUCCUGGGAGCCAUUAAGGAGAGUCUACACACAGAAGAGCCAGAAUGGGGGUGGUAGUGGAGGUAGGACCAUCUGAUCCUCAGGCUAGGAGCCUCCAGCCCCCAGAGCAACCUCAGCUCUGUGCAGGUUGUAGCUGCUGCAGCAGCAGCAGAGUGGCCUCCUACCAGGUGCCAGCUUCCUGGGGCAAUCUGGAGCCAGGCUUCCUCCCUUACUGCCAGGCAUUGCAUGAGGUCUAACUAGAAGGGGGUCUCCUGUCCCCUUCCCUGGGCUUCUCUUAGUAAGAACAGUUUUGCCAUCAUGGAAAAGAAAGGCAAGAACCAUGUGAUGCAGUCACCAUUGCAUCUCCAGCAUCUAGUAUCCAGGUUGUACCCAGUGUGCACUCAAAUGUACUAUUCUU
rnacentral:lncRNA from 1 species